rnacentral:rRNA from 1 species
AAUGGAGGCAACUCUGACCCAGCCAUGCCGCGUGAAGGAUGACUGUCCUAUGGAUUGUAAACUUCUUUUGUUAGGGACGAAACCCUUGGAUUCAUCCGAGGCUGACGGUACCUAAAGAAUAAGCACCGGCUAACUCCGUGCCAGCAGCCGCGGUAAUACGGAGGGUGCAAGCGUUAUCCGGAUUCACUGGGUUUAAAGGGUGCGUAGGUGGAUCAGUAAGUCAGUGGUGAAAGCCCCGGGCUCAACUUGGGAAUUGCCAUUGAUACUGCUGGUCUUGAGUUCGGUUGAGGUAGGCGGAAUAAGUCAUGUAGCGGUGAAAUGCUUAGAUAUGACUUAGAACACCGAUUGCGAAGGCAGCUUACCAAGCCGACACUGACACUGAGGCACGAAAGCGUGGGGAUCAAA